rnacentral:lncRNA from 1 species
CCAUCCCCAUAAAAGCCUCUCGUGGUUUAAGAAUAAGAAAAACUUAUAUUCUUCCCCUUGUUAAUUUUUUAGAAGGCUCAAUCUUUUAUGCCAAUCGAAAACUCGAUAACUGGGAUAAACUUAUCCUCACAUAAGAGGCAUCAGUUGAGUGUUUUUGGGAGAUGGAAUACAAGGGAUUAAGCUUUUAGCUUGACAACGAUAAGUAUAUAUUUCACAAGUGCAUGCACCUAGCCCGGAGUUAUCAAGUUGGUAUUUGUAUGCAUGCAUGUGCUCAGUUCAGUAAACCAGAGCUUUCUUUAUCA